rnacentral:lncRNA from 1 species
AUUUAGUUGGUCUGCCAAGAUGAUACAGUUGUUUAGGUUCUUCUUAUAAGAAGGUAACUGAAUAGCUGAGUGGAUAAAUUCAGUGCAGGCAUGAGGAGAAUACUAGAAGGAGCCUAGAGACAGUCUGAAGGAGAAGAGAAGGUAGUGGAAGCUUGGGUGUAUUCUCCUCCAUAUAAAAACCCACCAUGUAAAAACACUCUGCUUAAAAAUGUAAUUUAAUCUGGAAUAAAAUAAGGUAAGUACCUAUGGUACCA